UAACUUUCAUCGCAUCACAUACUCAGAAACAAAGAGAGGAUGGUUGUGAGGCUUUGACCCUAGCAGCAAGUCCUCGUGAAUGAAGUUGAUUGCAUCAUGGGUAGCACAACAUGUAGCAUAUUCAUGAGGCCAAAGCUUCAAGCAUUCGUCCUUACUUUCUUGCACCUCGUGGUCGUCAGGACUUGCCAAAACCAUUGCUAGUGCUUUUCACAUCUUUUUGGGCAAUCGUAGUGCCUCAUCGAUGCUAAAAUGUGCCAGCAUGCUUUCUUUGGGCAUGGGAGUUUUCUCUUCCUUGAUGGCGAUAGCUUUGCCUUUUGAGGACUUUUCUAUCUCUACUUUAACCAUGUGACAAACAGCGACAACGCAUUGUUGGAAGAAGUCCCUCGAGAAGUACUCGUGCAGGGAUACAAGAAUGCAUGGCUCUUACUUCAUAGGUUCCUCAACGUAUGUUGGCUUAGCAGCUCUUAUGUUUCUUUUGGGCUUCCUAUUGUUACGGCGACAGUGCUUCCUCCCUUGCUUCACCUUUGGCCAUAUGGCUUGUGGUCUUGGCUUCCUUGUCGUUUUGUAGGUCACCAAGGUCUAUCAUUCUUCAUCAUCGAUAGGUGCAUCUUGCUUUGCCCCCAUCAAUGGUUGUGCAGAAGGUGCCAUGUAGCUUGAGCAAGGACAAAAAUGGGUAUACGUCACUUGGAGAGGCAUGGAAUCGAAGGAUCCAAACACAAUGGUAGUAGCAUGAGUUGCAGCAGUCUCUUGUAGGUCGAGUUCAAUUUGCCCUUGUUGUGCUAGCUUCAUGAUGAGCUUCUUAAGGAUGAAGCAUUUGCUAACAGUAUGACUCACGAUAUAAUGGUCAUUGUAGUACUAAGGAUCGUUAAUGCGAUUCAUCUUUUCCAGCAAGUCAUCUAGCAUUGCAGCCACAUCAGAGUCAGGAAAAGGGUUUGUCUUCUACUUCAAUUCCCUCAAGGUGUUUUUGUACCUAUCUUGGGUGCAAAAAGGCUCACCUUGUUUGUGUUCUCAUCUUUUCUCCAAAAGAAACCCUAAAUGAAUUUUGGCUAUAAAGUCAUAUUUAUACCAACAUUCAUUGGAGUGGCGAACUUGUAAUUAAGUCCAAAACCCACUCCUUUAUCAAUAUGGCCGGCCAUAGGGUUUCAUUGGGCUUUUUAGGCCUUUGUGAAUUAUUUGUCAUUAAGUUGUCAUACAACUUAAGUCAAUGGGCUUGACGUUCGAAGCUUAUUGGCCCUUGAGGCCCAAAACUAACCCAUGGUCUUUUAACGAACUUUAUUCGUUUGAAUAAUUAACAUAUUAAUUAAUCCUUGCCAUAAAUAAAUAAUUAAACCAUUUAAUUAUCCUUACUUAUCUCCGUUGUUUCUUCAAUCUCUACCUUACACGGUGUACGAUCCAUUAGGUUCCUUUUAGCGAGGCAGUGG
rnacentral:lncRNA from 1 species